rnacentral:lncRNA from 1 species
UCCAACAAAGCACCGACCAGAACUCCACUGAAGGCUGCAGAAAUCUGUGUUUUGAGCAGUCCCUACCAGCCAUGCCCUUGAUCCAACUACCAAGAUUGUUGGCACACUAACAUGAACCACUGUAAAAACCUGCACAAAACAAACAAGACAGCCCCAACACACGAUAUGUGCGGCAAAGGAACAGAGUACCACCCCUUUGCCAAGUUCUCCAUCCCUUCAGCUAAGUUUUCCUUAAAGCACCACACAUUCAAAUGCAGAGAAAAAAGACAACCCCUUCCCUACGGGAGGCCGUUGUGAAAUGACGAGCGCUUUGCUUUUCCAUACCCUUGACAAGGAGACAUUUCACACAAAGAAUCACUUCCACUCUGUUACAUGCACCAGACUUCAUCACACUCCUGCCACGCCCCUACCAAACCCGCAAAACGUGCACUGCCAAGGCAGCUAUGCCACAACAUAUAAGGUCUGUUCCAGCUUGGGCUCCAACCAAUCAGCGAACCAAGAGAAAGCACUGGUUUGGAUACAAAAGCCAGUCAGAAAAGGCGUACGAAAAAUCUGAUGCUUUAUGCUUUAACCAUAACCAUGACUACAACUAAGCGUUCUGGAAUAUCUCAUCAGAAUCAGGCACCCCUUGUCUGAAGAUCACAACAUUCCUAUGCUCCCAAAUGCAGCUAACGAUAGCCGCCCAAAAGCCUAACCAAACCUGGUUCUGUUUACUGGAGAGAUGUAUUUGAUGAAAAUUCAUAAAAUGGUUCAUAAGGUCCUUAUUUUGGACACCUAGAGUGCCAAUCCACCUAUAACACCGAGACCAAACUUGUUGUGCAACACCACAUUCUAAAAAAAGAUGUUGGGAUGAUUCCUCCGAUAGAUUGCAAAGAGCACAACGGGUUGAUGUCACAGGCACACCUCUACUAACCAAAUUGACUCUAUUAGGGAUUCUAUCAAUGAGGAUUCUCCAAGCUGUUGUCUGAAC